GACGUAGGGCGCGAGCGUUGUCCGGAUUUAUUGGGCGGAAAGAGCUCGUAGGCGGCUUGUCGCGUCGACUGUGAAAACCCGCGGCUCAACUGUGGGCUUGCAGUCGAUACGGGCAGGCUAGAGUUCGGUAGGGGAGAUCGGAAUUCCUGGUGUAGCGGUGAAAUGCGCAGAUAUCAGGAGGAACACCGGUGGCGAAGGCGGAUCUCUGGGCCGAUACUGACGCUGAGGAGCGAAAGCGUGGGGAGCGAACAGG
rnacentral:rRNA from 1 species